UCUUGAAUAUUCAAUGUAGCUCCCACAAAUUUGAGGAUAUUUCUUUGCAAAUUUACUUACCUCCUUUUCUAAUUGAUUCUCCACCUUUAAAUACACUUUAAAAUGGCUGGAGAAGAGGUUCUAGCCGUUGGAGAUGAUAAACUAGCCGUUGGAAGGCAUUUGGGGCAAAAAACUAAAGUUUUUAAAAACUAGCCAUUACAGUCCACUUAGUCGACUAACUUUUCUCUUAGUCGACUAAGUCCUUCACUAAGUCGACUCAAAAUCUUC
rnacentral:lncRNA from 1 species